UGGGGAAUAUUGCACAAUGGGCGCAAGCCUGAUGCAGCCAUGCCGCGUGUGUGAAGAAGGCCUUCGGGUUGUAAAGCACUUUCAGCGAGGAGGAAGGGUAGUGUGUUAAUAGCACAUUGCAUUGACGUUACUCGCAGAAGAAGCACCGGCUAACUCCGUGCCAGCAGCCGCGGUAAUACGGAGGGUGCAAGCGUUAAUCGGAAUUACUGGGCGUAAAGCGCACGCAGGCGGUUUGUUAAGUCAGAUGUGAAAUCCCCGCGCUUAACGUGGGAACUGCAUUUGAAACUGGCAAGCUAGAGUCUUGUAAAGGGGGGUAGAAUUCCAGGUGUAGCGGUGAAAUGCGUAGAGAUCUGGAGGAAUACCGGUGGCGAAGGCGGCCCCCUGGACAAAGACUGACGCUCAGGUGCGAAAGCGUGGGGAGCAAACA
rnacentral:rRNA from 1 species